rnacentral:rRNA from 1 species
GAUGAGCGCUGGCGGCGUGCUUAACACAUGCAAGUCGAACGGAAAGGCUCCUGCUUGCAGGGGUACUCGAGUGGCGAACGGGUGAGUAACACGUGGGUGAUCUGCCCUGCACUUCGGGAUAAGCCUGGGAAACUGGGUCUAAUACCGGAUAGGACCACAUUUUGGAUGGUGUGGUGGAAAGUUUUUCGGUGUGGGAUGAGCUCGCGGCCUAUCAGCUUGUUGGUGGGGUAAUGGCCUACCAAGGCGUCGACGGGUAGCCGGCCUGAGAGGGUGUACGGCCACAUUGGGACUGAGAUACGGCCCAGACUCCUACGGGAGGCAGCAGUGGGGAAUAUUGCACAAUGGGCGCAAGCCUGAUGCAGCGACGCCGCGUGGGGGAUGACGGCCUUCGGGUUGUAAACUCCUUUCGCUAGGGACGAAGCGCAAGUGACGGUACCUGGAGAAGAAGCACCGGCUAACUACG